UCCAGAGGGUGCGAGCGUUAAUCGGAAUUACUGGGCGUAAAGCGCGCGUAGGCGGCUUCGCAAGUCGGGUGUGAAAUCCCCAGGCUUAACCUGGGAACUGCAUUCGAGACUGCAUUGCUAGAGUAUGGGAGAGGGAAGUGGAAUUUCCGGUGUAGCGGUGAAAUGCGUAGAUAUCGGAAGGAACACCGGUGGCGAAGGCGGCUUGCUGGGCUAACACUGACGCUCAUGCACGAAAGCGUGGGGAGCAAACAGG
rnacentral:rRNA from 1 species